rnacentral:lncRNA from 1 species
AUGUCACACAGGUUGGCUUGGAACUAUGUAACCCAGGCUGCCUUAGCCUCCAAGAUGUGUUUAAAUUACAGGCAUGAACCACCACAACCCUCCACCUCUGUUUUCUCUCAGAAUAAACACAUCCAGAAAAACAAGCAAAUGGAAACAGUGAAAUUUAUCACUGCAAUGGGUACAACGGACACACAACUCCAAAGAGAACUGGACAAAGCAAGGACACAGAGAAGAAGGUGCUUCAGGACUCAAACGCCCAUGAAUAGUUUCAUUAACGAAGAGACCAGUGGAGAAGAUUUUAAAGUAUUGGGAUUUGAUCUUUACAGAUCACAUUAACAACUCAGAAAUAAGUGCGAGAAGUAAGUGCCAGAGUGAUGAUGCAAUUCAGCAUUUGGGUACCAAAUUCUGCUGGACUUCCUUCUUCCCUAUCUUUUCUUUAACUAACUUCCAUCUGUGUGUGUGUGUGUUUUCUGGGGGCUUGUAAACUGCUUCCUCUCUUUAGUUUCCUGUACCCACUCUAGUCUGUGUUACUUCCUUAUAGUAAAC